CCUCCCUCUCUAUCCACGGAGCAAAUCCAGCCAGCCCCUCUCUCUCCCUCUCUCACUCGGUUGAGCGCCGCACAGAUCCCGGAGCGCCUGACGUUGCGAGCGCGCGGAUGGCGUUGACGACGGCGUAAUCGCGACCGUCGAAGCUGCCGGGCGGCGGGCCAGGGGAGAGGAGGCCGCCGCCGCCGCGGCUCAUCAGGGCACUCUUCGGCUCCGGCGCCAAGAUCGAGCCUAGGAAGCUCGGCGCCGGCCUGCUCGUGGGGUGCUGCCUGGCGCUCCUCACCUAUGUCUCCCUCACCAAGCUCUACGCCGUCUACUCCCCCGUCUUCGCCACCACCUCAGCCCUGGUUCAGAACGCCCCGCCAUCGUCGUCGUCCUCGGCGCGGGAGGCGGUGGCUGCUCCGCGUCCGCCCAAAGAGUCAUCAUUUGUUGGCAGCAACAACGGCAGCGCCGUGGAUCGCAUCGAUUUGAGCCCGGCGACGGCCGACUCUCAAGAGCCCGGGGUGCCGGAGGCGGUCUCGAGAAAGGAACACAACGAGAAGGCGCCGACGCCAGUGAACACCUCGGCGCCAAUGCCAUUUAAGCAAGGAAAGAGGAAGAGCAGCAGCAGCAACAAUGUCAACGCCGGCCAGAUGAGCUGCGAAGAAAAUGGCGUGGACGAGGGGUUUCCCUAAGCGCGACCGGCGGUCUGCGAGCUGUCGAAACGCGCACGUUCCGACGUCAUAAAAAUACGUAGUGUAAAUUAUGAAACACGCACGUUCCGACGUCAUAAAUUUGCAGCGUGCGAUAGCAUUUUUUAGCAUGUGUUUAAAAAAUGUUGCGCACGCAUUAUUUUGCAGUCUGUGCUAGAACUGUCCGGUGUCCUAAAUUUUUUGGAUUUUAACACGUGGAGCAAUUUUUGGUCGUCUCUUGAAGAUGCUCUAAAGAUACAAUCUAGAAUGGAGUAGCAUCAAUUAGUAUGAAAAGGAUGGAGUAGCACCUAAGGAAUACUAAAGCGUUUAUUAAUGUGAACUUCUACAUACACAGUACGGAAGGAAUUUGAAUUUCAGCAACAAUAUGUCAGUAA